UCAAUAAGCGGAGGAAAAGAAACUAACAAGGAUUCCCCUAGUAACGGCGAGUGAAGAGGGAAGAGCCCAAGAUUGAAAGCUGGCGUCUUCGGCGUCCGCAUUGUAAUCUCAAGAAGUGUUUUCCGCUUUGGACCGAGCCUAAGUCCCUUGGAAAAGGGCAUCAUAGAGGGUGAGAAUCCCGUACAUGGCUUGGAGUGCCCAAGGCUUUGUGAUACACUUUCCAAGAGUCGAGUUGUUUGGGAAUGCAGCUCAAAAUGGGUGGUAAAUGCCAUCUAAGGCUAAAUAUUGGGGAGAGACCGAUAGCGAACAAGUACCGUGAGGGAAAGAUGAAAAGAACUUUGAAAAGAGAGUUAAACAGUACGUGAAAUUGCCAAAAGGGAAGGGUAGGAGGUCAGAGAUGCGGUCUGGGAUUCAGCCUUGCUUUUGCUUGGUGUUUUUCCCAGUUUGCAGGCCAACGUCGGUUUUGGGCACUGGAGAAGGGUAGGAGGAACGUGGCACCCCUCGGGGUGUGUUAUAGCCUCCUACUGGAUACAGCGACUGAGACCGAGGACAGCAGCGUACUCGCAAGAGCGGGCCUUCGGGCACCUUUACGCUUAGGGCGUUGGCAUAAUGGCCCUCUACCACCCGUCUUGAAACACGGA
rnacentral:rRNA from 1 species